rnacentral:sRNA from 1 species
AUGGGUGACCAGUGACAGAGUGAGGGGGGGUGACUAGUGAGGGAGAUGGUGACUAGUGACAGAGGGAGGGAGAUGGUGACUGUCACUAGUCACCCCAUCCCUCCCUCUGUCACUAGUCACUCCCUCCCUAACUCUGUCACUAGUCAUCCCCUCCCUCACUCUGUCACCAGUCACCCCCUCCCUCUGUCACUGUGUCACCCCAUCCCUCCCUCUGUCACUGUGUCACCCCAU